GAUAAACGCUGGCGGCGCACAUAAGACAUGCAAGUCGAACGGACUUAACCAUUAGUUUACUAUUGGAGCGGUUAGUGGCGGACUGGUGAGUAACACGUAAGCAACCUGCCUAUCAGAGGGGAACAACAGUUAGAAAUGACUGCUAAUACCGCAUAACCCGAUAGGAUCGCAUGAUCCAGACGGAAAAGAUUUAUCGGUGUGAGAUGGACCCGCGUCUGAUUAGCUAGUUGGUGAGGUAACGGCCCACCAAGGCGACGAUCAGUAGCCGGCCUGAGAGGGUGAACGGCCACAUUGGGACUGAGACACGGCCCAA
rnacentral:rRNA from 1 species